GAACGCACCUUGCGCCCUUUGGCUAUUCUGAAGGGCAUGCCUGUUUGAGUAUCAUGAACACCUCAACUCUCAUGGUCUGCCAUGAUGAGCUUGGACUUUGGGGGUCUUGCCGGCCUAGCGUCGGCUCCUCUCAAAUGCAUCAGCUUGCCAGUGUUUGGCGGCAUCACAGGUGUGAUAACUAUCUACGCUUGUGGUUUUCCGCCAUGUAACCUUCAGUGAUGGAGGUUCGCUGGAGCUCACAGAAGUCUCUCCUCGGCGAGGACAGCUUUUUGAACGUUUGAUCUCAAAUCAGGUAGGACUACCCGCUGAACUUA
rnacentral:misc_RNA from 1 species